rnacentral:rRNA from 1 species
UACGUAGGUGGCAAGCGUUGUCCGGAAUUAUUGGGCGUAAAGCGCGCGCAGGCGGCCUCUUGAGUCUGAUGUGAAAGCCCCCCGGCUCAACCGGGGAGGGCCAUUGGAAACUGGGAGGCUUGAGUAUAGGAGAGAAGAGUGGAAUUCCACGUGUAGCGGUGAAAUGCGUAGAGAUGUGGAGGAACACCAGUGGCGAAGGCGACUCUUUGGCCUAUAACUGACGCUGAGG